GUGGUCUGCCAGAAAAGAAGAGGCUCAAGACGAAGCGGGUCGCUAGCACCCGAACAACACACGAAGAUGAAUGUAUUGAAAAUGAUUUCAAGCGAAUCACGAAAAAGCCUCGUCCCGAGGACACACGCCAACAUGCUGUACAGUUCGGAAGCGACAGAAAGCACAAGCCUACAGAAGCAUAAGAAAGGCCCAGGAAGAAGGGCUUUGUUGAGUUUGGAGCAGAAGUUGACCAAACAGAACUCUGACCGCCUGGCAUAUCACCACAAAGAGAAAGCAUCUCUCACACUCACUUUUUACAAAUAAAUAGGUCAUCCUUAGGUGAAAACAGACCUCCGCCAUCGCUUACAAGGAGAACACCUGGCGGCCUGCUGCACAAUAUCUGUUAAUGGACAUGAUCCUGUGGACUUCAAUUUUGAAAAGACUUUCCAACAUAUUUUAGGAAGCCAUGUAAAAUUCACCAUUUCUUACUUCUUUUGAUUUGUUACCCACGUUCUUUCUUAUUUCAGGAAGCCAUUAUAUUUUUAUUGGAAUUUAGAAAGUUAUUUGGUAUUUGAUAUUAUACUCUACAUUAAUUUGUAUUUAUAUAAGUUAGAGAAUGUAAUGUUUUUAUUGAAUUUCUUAUUCGGUGUUUGUUUAAACUCAACAUUUAUUGUUAAAUGUAUUUUAUUACUAGCAUCCCUUAAAAGAAAAGUACAGUAUUCUAUUAAAAUCUAAAUCUAACAUUUUGGCUUUUUUGGGGUCGUAAACAUGGAUGCGCAAAAAGAGAUGCACCUUAUGCGCAAAAAGAGAUGCACCUUAUCUCCAGGCCCGGCCGGGCUGGUGCCCACCGCCGCAAAUAGAUUCUGGUCCUGUGGGGAAACACUGGAGGUGACGUACUAAUUCAUUUCCGGUCCCUGUAUGGCUGUCUAGCAUUGAAUAUAACAGUAUUUUCCUUUAUAAACAUGUACUAAUUUGCUCUUCAAAAUGGCUAAUCUCUGCGAUAAUGCAGUUCCUGCCAGACUGUGACAAGUGUACUGUACCACCCAAACACUUAUUUUGGUGUUUUGCAAUGUCUUGUGAUAGCUUAGCGAUUAGUAUGGUGUUCAUGUCGUGUCUUAUCCUCCGCCUGUCCUUAGUUAUUACAAUACUUGCCUAGAAGUGUAGUUUAUUCGCUGUCAUGGAGGCGAUGAUUAGUGACUUAUGCUGCCCUGACAAUGGACGCGAGUCACAUAUUCGCCUCUGCGGGAUGGCACUGUAUUUAGCCGUGUUAGCUGUAGCUCGUAGGUAGCUGGCUCAAAAUAGCAUGCAGCAAUGACACCUCCCACGAACAGUGGAAACAACAAUAGGGACACUUCAUUUGGGAUAAUAGCCGCUAGCAUGAUGACGGAAAAGCCACACUGUUCCCAUAAUUCAUUGAAACAUGCAAAUUUGAAUUGCAGUAAAAAUGUAAAUGUUUGUUUAUGUUACCAGUAGUUUGUUCAAUGCAUGUUAUUUAACAUUUAUGCUUAUUUCACAUUUGUGGUUGGUUGAUGGCACUGUCUUUAUCAAACUGAAUGUAGGUUGUGUGCAAUAAAGUGACUUCCCAGUCAAUUCAACUGGAUAGUCAGCAAUAUGA